rnacentral:rRNA from 1 species
GACGAACGCUGGCGGCGUGCUUAACACAUGCAAGUCGAACGGAAAGGCCCUGCUUUUGUGGGGUGCUCGAGUGGCGAACGGGUGAGUAACACGUGAGUAACCUGCCCUUGACUUUGGGAUAACUUCAGGAAACUGGGGCUAAUACCGGAUAGGAGCUCCUGCUGCAUGGUGGGGGUUGGAAAGUUUCGGCGGUUGGGGAUGGACUCGCGGCUUAUCAGCUUGUUGGUGGGGUAGUGGCUUACCCAGGCUUUGACGGGUAGGCGGCCUGAGAGGGUGACCGGCGACAUUGGGACUGAGAUACGGCCCAGACUCCUACGGGAGGCAGCAGUGGGGAAUAUUGCACAAUGGGCGGAAGCCUGAUGCAGCAACGCCGCGUGCGGGAUGACGGCCUUCGGGUUGUAAACCGCUUUCGCCUGUGACGAAGCGUGAGUGACGGUAAUGGGUAAAGAAGCACCGGCUAACUACGUG